rnacentral:rRNA from 1 species
CCUACGGGUGGCAGCAGUGGGGAAUAUUGGACAAUGGGCGAAAGCCUGAUCCAGCCAUGCCGCGUGAGUGAUGAAGGCCCUAGGGUUGUAAAGCUCUUUCACCGGUGAAGAUAAUGACGGUAACCGGAGAAGAAGCCCCGGCUAACUUCGUGCCAGCAGCCGCGGUAAUACGAAGGGGGCUAGCGUUGUUCGGAAUUACUGGGCGUAAAGCGCACGUAGGCGGAUUGUUAAGGGAGGGGUGAAAUCCCAGGGGUCAACCCUGGGACUGCCUUUCAUACUGGCAAUCUCGAGGCCGGAAGAGGUGAGUGGAAUUCCGAGUGUAGAGGUGAAAUUCGUAGAUAUUCGGAGGAACACCAGUGGCGAAGGCGGCUCACUGGUCCGGUACUGACGCUGAGGUGCGAAAGCGUGGGGAGCAAACAGGAUUAGAUACCCUAGUAGUCCC